CUCUGGCAUCUUGAAUUUAGGGCCCUUCAGUUUCGCAUCUGGACCUUCAAUAUUCACAUCUGGAACAUCAACGUCCACCUUGGGUCCUGAGACGUCAAGGUCAGCCUUGGGCAGGUUCACAUCCACAUCUGGGCCCUCUCCUUUGAAGCCAGGCAUGCUGAACUUGGGCAUUUUCACCUUGGGCAUCUUCAGGUGCCAGUCUGGGCCUUGAACAUCCACAUCUGGGCCCUCUCCUUUGAAGCCAGGCAUGCUGAAUUUGGGCAUUUUCACUUUGGGCAUUUUUAGGUGCCAGUCUGGGCCUUGAACCUCCACAUCUGGGACAUCAAUGUCCAUUUUGGCACUUUUAAGUUCAACAUCAGGAACUUUAAUCUCACUUUCAAC
rnacentral:lncRNA from 1 species